UAGAUAUAAAGAGAUUUUCAUUCUUUUUCUUUCUUUUUCUUUCUUUUUCUUUUUUGGGGUUCAUCAUCAUUCGAGUCAUCAUCACA
rnacentral:ribozyme from 14 species